CCACCCGAAUCCCUGAGACCCUAACUUGUGAUGUGCUUCUCAAAUCACACAGGUUAGUUUCUCAGGAAUUUGGUAGGCGUGUCA
rnacentral:pre_miRNA from 1 species